AUGGGGGCGCCCAAGGAGGACGAGAAGGGGCACACAUGCGGCGGCUGGAAGAGUGAGGAUGGAAGUUUGUAUUGUGGAUAUUCUAGCUUGAGAGGGAGAAGAGCAAGUAUGGAAGACUUCUACGACAUGAGAUCAUCUAAAAUGGAUGCUAAAAACAUAAACCUUUUUGGAGUAUUUGAUGGACAUGGUGGUUCAUGUGCCGCUGAGUAUCUCAAGGAGCACUUAUUUGAAAAUCUCCUGAAACACCCCUCUUUCAUUACUGAUACAAAAACAGCAAUAAGUGAGAGCUAUAUGAAGACUGACUCAGAUUUCUUGGAUGCUGAAACCAAUAUUCAUAGAGAGGCUGGGUCAACUGCAUCAACAGCAAUUUUUGUUGGCAACCACCUCUAUGUGGCAAAUGUUGGCGAUUCACGGGCUGUAAUAUCGAAGGCGGGCAAAGCUAUUGUGCUCUCUGAUGAUCACAAACCAGACAGAAGUGACGAGCGGGAACGGAUUGAAAAUGCUGGAGGAGUUGUUACAUUUAGUGGAACAUGGAGGGUAGGUGGUGUACUUGCCAUGUCUCGGGCAUUUGGAGAUCGUUUGUUGAAGCCGUUUGUUGUUGCAGAGCCUGAGAUUCAGGAACAAGAAAUAGAUGAUGAAUUGGAGUAUCUGAUUUUGGCUAGUGAUGGCCUGUGGGACGUGGUGUCAAAUGAGCACGCCGUUGCAUUUGUGAAGGAGGAGGUGGGCUCUGAAGCUGCGGCCCGAAAGCUGACAGAGAUCGCUUUCACGCGUGGGAGCACCGACAAUAUAACAUGCAUAGUUGUAGAGUUUCACCGUGCCAAAUAA
rnacentral:rRNA from 1 species